UAUAUUCUAAUAUGGCAGAUUAGUGUAAUAGAUUUAAGCUCUAUAAAUGUAAUAAAUAUUACUAUUAGAA
rnacentral:tRNA from 1 species